UACGGGGGGGGGCAAGCGUUGUUCGGAAUUACUGGGCGUAAAGCGCGUGUAGGCGGCAAGCCAAGUCGGGUGUGAAAGCCCUGGGCUCAACCCAGGAAGUGCAUUCGAUACUGGCAAGCUAGAGUCCCGGAGAGGAUGGUGGAACUCUCGGUGUAGAGGUGAAAUUCGUAGAUAUCGAGAAGAACACCGGUGGCGAAGGCGGCCAUCUGGACGGUGACUGACGCUGAGACGCGAAAAGCGUGGGGGAGCAAAACAGG
rnacentral:rRNA from 1 species